rnacentral:rRNA from 1 species
CACGUAGUUAGCCGGUGCUUAUUCAUAAGUUACCGUCAUAUUCUUCACUUAUAAAAAGAAGUUUACGACCCUAGGGCCUUCAUCCUUCACGCGGCGUUGCUCCAUCAGGCUUUCGCCCAUUGUGGAAGAUUCCUCACUGCUGCCUCCCGUAGGAGUCUGGGCCGUGUCUCAGUCCCAGUCUGGCUGAUCAUCCUCUCAGACCAGCUAUAGAUCGUAGGCUUGGUGAGCCUUUACCUCACCAACUACCUAAUCUAACGCGGGCCGCUCCCAAAGCGGAUAAAUCCUUUAAUCCGAAGAUCAUAUGCGGCAUUAGCUACCCUUUCGGGCAGUUAUUCCUCACUUUGGGGUCACGUUCCCACGCGUUACUCAGCCGUCCGCCGCUCGCCGCCAAGUAGUAAACUACUCGCGCUGCCGCUCGACUUGCAUGUGUUAGGCACGCCGCCAGCAUUCAUCCUGAGCCAGGAUCAAACUC